GGCUGGUCCGAAGGUAGUGAGUUAUCUCAAUUGAUUGUUCACAGUCAGUUACAGAUUGUACUCCUUGUUCUACUCUUUCCCCCCUUCUCACUACCGUACUUGACUAGCCUUUU
rnacentral:Y_RNA from 1 species